GAGCAUCCUUCAGUGUUCAGAGAUGGAGUCAGUAUUUGUCUGGCCAUUUUUAGGGCAAAGAGGCAGCAUCAU
ensembl:miRNA